CAAGGUAUAGCUUAAUAUAAAGCACCUGGCUUACACCCAGAAAAUCUCAACAUCACUUGAUUACCUUGA
rnacentral:tRNA from 1 species